GCCGACGUAGCUCAACGGUAGAGCAGCUGAUUUGUAAUCAGCAGGUUGGGGGUUCGAAUCCGCCCGUCGGCUCCA
rnacentral:tRNA from 1 species